rnacentral:tRNA from 1 species
CCGAAGUGGUGGAAAUGGCAGACACGCAAGAUUCAGGUUCUUGUGGGGGCAACUUCGUGGGGGUUCGACUCCCCCCUUCGGCAC